rnacentral:rRNA from 1 species
GAUGAACGCUGGCGGCGUGCCUAAUACAUGCAAGUCGAGCGAACGGACGAGAAGCUUGCUUCUCUGAUGUUAGCGGCGGACGGGUGAGUAACACGUGGAUAACCUACCUAUAAGACUGGGAUAACUUCGGGAAACCGGAGCUAAUACCGGAUAAUAUUUUGAACCGCAUGGUUCAAAAGUGAAAGACGGUCUUGCUGUCACUUAUAGAUGGAUCCGCGCUGCAUUAGCUAGUUGGUAAGGUAACGGCUUACCAAGGCAACGAUGCAUAGCCGACCUGAGAGGGUGAUCGGCCACACUGGAACUGAGACACGGUCCAGACUCCUACGGGAGGCAGCAGUAGGGAAUCUUCCGCAAUGGGCGAAAGCCUGACGGAGCAACGCCGCGUGAGUGAUGAAGGUCUUCGGAUCGUAAAACUCUGUUAUUAGGGAAGAACGUAUGUGUAAGUAACUGUGCACAUCUUGACGGUACCUAAUCAGAAAGCCACGGCUAACUACGUGCCAGCAGCCGCGGUAAUACGUAGGUGGCAAGCGUUAUCCGGAAUUAUUGGGCGUAAAGCGCGCGUAGGCGGUUUUUUAAGUCUGAUGUGAAAGCCCACGGCUCAACCGUGGAGGGUCAUUGGAAACUGGAAAACUUGAGUGCAGAAGAGGAAAGUGGAAUUCCAUGUGUAGCGGUGAAAUGCGCAGAGAUAUGGAGGAACACCAGUGGCGAAGGCGACUUUCUGGUCUGUAACUGACGCUGAUGUGCGAAAGCGUGGGGAUCAAACAGGAUUAGAUACCCUGGUAGUCCACGCCGUAAACGAUGAGUGCUAAGUGUUAGGGGGUUUCCGCCCCUUAGUGCUGCAGCUAACGCAUUAAGCACUCCGCCUGGGGAGUACGACCGCAAGGUUGAAACUCAAAGGAAUUGACGGGGACCCGCACAAGCGGUGGAGCAUGUGGUUUAAUUCGAAGCAACGCGAAGAACCUUACCAAAUCUUGACAUCCUUUGACAACUCUAGAGAUAGAGCCUUCCCCUUCGGGGGACAAAGUGACAGGUGGUGCAUGGUUGUCGUCAGCUCGUGUCGUGAGAUGUUGGGUUAAGUCCCGCAACGAGCGCAACCCUUAAGCUUAGUUGCCAUCAUUAAGUUGGGCACUCUAAGUUGACUGCCGGUGACAAACCGGAGGAAGGUGGGGAUGACGUCAAAUCAUCAUGCCCCUUAUGAUUUGGGCUACACACGUGCUACAAUGGACAAUACAAAGGGCAGCGAAACCGCGAGGUCAAGCAAAUCCCAUAAAGUUGUUCUCAGUUCGGAUUGUAGUCUGCAACUCGACUACAUGAAGCUGGAAUCGCUAGUAAUUGUAGAUCAGCAUGCUACGGUGAAUACGUUCCCGGGUCU